AUCCAGAUGACGAGUUCCGAAUAGGACUAAAUGCUCAUCCUGGAU
rfam:Schistosoma rodhaini strain Burundi genome assembly, scaffold: SROB_scaffold0000332